rnacentral:siRNA from 1 species
UGAACCUUGGGAUGGGUC